rnacentral:rRNA from 1 species
GUCUAUGGCCAUACCACCCUGAAAUCAUCUGAGCUUGACUGAUCUCAGAAGCUAAGCAGGGCCUGGCCUGGUUAGUAUUUGGAUGGGAGAAUGGGACUCUUUCUGGCAUGACUUAGACU